ACCUUACCCCAACAUUACUCAAUGCCGAAUAUUAACCCAACAUCACAAGCAUAAUCACCAUGAAACUUACCUUGAUACACAUUUUAUCCCAUUGCCGAAUAUAUAUAUAUCACCAAACAAAUUUUUAUUCACAUCUCUAUAAUUGAUCAUAAUCGGACAUUAUAAACAAAUCAACUAGUUUAGCAUUCAAAUUCUUCUAAUCAUUCCUCAAUCACUUACUCAAUGAACAAUAAUCCAAGCACAUCAAAGCAUAGUCAAAUGUAUCAUUCUUCUUAAAUUCAUAUUCGAACACUCAAUUAAAUACUUACAAUUUAGCACUAAUUUGGCAUUUCAACAUAGCCAAUUGUCAUUAAGCAAUUAAGCCACAAAUAUUCAAUUUUACCAAGCUCAACUCAUCUAUAAUCAACCCUCAAUACACCUAAGCAUCAAAAACAACAUCAAAGAAAUACAAACAUCCGUGACCGAAUGUCAUCUUCAUAAAUUUACAAAAACAUUUGCCAUGAGUUAGCUUCUAUACUUGAUGACCACUCCAAAUAUACAAAGACUUUCAAUGAAAGAGCAUUAAC
rnacentral:lncRNA from 1 species